AGAUAUAUAUAUUUCACUCUAUUGGUGUCACCAUCUCCAUCAUUUUCUAGUGCUCAACUAGAUCUUAUUUGAAAGCUAAGGUAAUUUUAUAAUUUUUGGGUUUGUAGAUAUUUAAGGUUAAGAUUUUCAUAUGUGUAAAUAUAUAUACUAUUAUGAUAAAUUCUAAUUAAUAAGUGUGAAAACUAGGUUUGUCAUAAAACAAUUAUUACUUCUCAAAGAUCUCUCUCAUUGCAAUCAGGGUUAAGACUCCACAUUCGAGACCAAGGUAACUGAAAGUUUAGAAAGCCGGUGGCGAGUGGAACUUUGGAUGCUUGUGUGUGUGAACUCGCUGAGGGCUAUAUAACUGCGGGCGGUCUAGGGCGCUCUAUUUAUUUAUUCACGUUAUUAAACUUAUGUCGCAAUUAUUUUAGUUAUUAAUUAUUAUGUCUUUUGUACGAAAA